UACGGGGGGGGCAAGCGUUGUUCGGAAUUACUGGGCGUAAAGGGCUCGUAGGCGGCCAACUAAGUCAGAUGUGAAAUCCCUCGGCUUAACCGGGGAACUGCGUCUGAUACUGGAUGGCUUGAGAUUGGGAGAGGGAUGCGGAAUUCCAGGUGUAGCGGUGAAAUGCGUAGAUAUCUGGAGGAACACCGGUGGCGAAGGCGGCAUCCUGGACCAACACUGACGCUGAGGAGCGAAAGCCAGGGGAGCAAACGGG
rnacentral:rRNA from 1 species